rnacentral:lncRNA from 1 species
AUGUUUGAAAUUUUCAAGUUUGUCUAUGUUGUAGUUAUAUUUCUUUCCUUAUAUAUUCUCUCAAGCGCUUAUUGAAUGUGAAAUUGACCUCGAUUGUCCAAAAUCCUAUAUCAAGCUUUGGGACAAAAAUUAUGCUCAUAGGUGCGUUAAUAACAUCUGUGAAUGGGUUAAAAAGCCUCGAAUAUAUUGAGUGUAAGAAAAUUCCCUAUAGAAUAGAAUGUUUUAUUGUGCUAUCAAAAUAAAUGUGCAAUAUACUUUAUGAUAGAAUAAUCCACGAGUUGUCAUUGACUUAUUGUAUUGGCACCCAAUCAUUUUAUUAUAUCUUUUCUUACCUAAUUUCAUGAACCUUGCGUUUAUGAUUUUUACUCUCAAAUGAGCGUAAGGCAUCAAAGUGUAUUAUUUAUAUUGUCUUCUUAUCAUUGUGAAAUUCAGUUCAUGCAUUUUUUUUAAUCCCACCACCUAUAUAAAUAAUUGAAAUUU